UGCAAGCGUUAAUCGGAAUUACUGGGCGUAAAGCGUGCGCAGGCGGUUAUGUAAGACAGAUGUGAAAUGCCCGGGCUUAACCUGGGAACUGCAUUUGUGACUGCAUGGCUAGAGUGUGUCAGAGGGGGGUAGAAUUCCACGUGUAGCAGUGAAAUGCGUAGAUAUGUGGAGGAAUACCGAUGGCGAAGGCAGCCCCCUGGGAUAACACUGACGCUCAUGCACGAAAGCGUGGGGAGCAAACAGGAUUAGAUACCCUGGUAGUCCACGCCCUAAACGAUGUCUACUAGUUGUCGGGUCUUAAUUGACUUGGUAACGCAGCUAACGCGUGAAGUAGACCGCCUGGGGAGUACGGUCGCAAGAUUA
rnacentral:rRNA from 1 species